rnacentral:rRNA from 1 species
CUGCAGGAGCGUCAGCAAGCAGAAGAAGAGGCCAAGAUGAAGGAGGCCGAGCUGAUGCGAGGAAACCCACUGAUCAAUAUGAACAACUCUGGCUCCUUCAAUGUGAAGAGAAGGUGGGAUGAUGAUGUUGUAUUCAAGAACCAGGCUCGUGGAGAGACCAAGACACCAUCAGAAGUGAUUUCCACCGCAAGUUUCUGCAUAGGUACAUGA